rnacentral:misc_RNA from 1 species
GAGAUGCCCUGCACGGUAUACUUGAGAUCGAACUAUUUGAUGUAUAGGGAAUAGACUUCAUGGGCCCAUUCCCAACUUCCUUUGGAAACAAGUAUAUCCUAGUUGGCGUCGACUAUGUGUCAAAAUGGAUAGAAGCAGUAGCCACACCAACAAAUGAGGAGAGAGUGGUAACGAAAUUCAUCAGAAAGAACAUCUUCACAAAGUUUGGCUCACCAAGAGCGAUAAUCAGCGAUGGAGGAAGUCACUUCUAUAAUCGACAAUUUGAAAAUUUAUUGAAAAAAUAUGGAGUAACUCAUAAAGUGGCAACUCCUUAUCAUCCCCAAACCAGCGGCCAAGUAGAAUUUCAAAUCGGGAGCUAAAACAUAUCCUUGAAAAAACAGUCAAUCGCUCAAGGAAAGACUUGGUCCAUGAAACUAGAUGAUACAUUAAGAGCAUACCGCACUGCAUAUAAAACUCCCAUUGGAACAACAACCUUCCGCUUGGUCCAUGGGAAGGCCUGCCACCUACCCGUCGAACUUGAACACAAAGCCUAUUGGGCCAUCCAAACCCUAAACUAUGACCUAAAAGCUGCUGGCGAAAAAAAGACUUCUACAGCUCAAUGAGCUAGAAGAGAUCAGACAGGACGCCUAUGAAAACACCAGGAUCUUCAAGGACAAAACCAAAAGAUGGCACGAUAGGCA